CGGAGGGUGCAAGCGUUAUCCGGAUUCACUGGGUUUAAAGGGAGCGUAGGUGGGUCGGUAAGUCAGUGGUGAAAUCCCCGAGCUUAACUUGGGAACUGCCAUUGAUACUAUCGAUCUUGAAUACUGUGGAGGUUAGCGGAAUAUGUCAUGUAGCGGUGAAAUGCUUAGAUAUGACAUAGAACACCAAUUGCGAAGGCAGCUGGCUACACAUAUAUUGACACUGAGGCUCGAAAGCGUGGGGAUCAAACAGGAUUAGAUACCCUGGUAGUCCACGCCCUAAACUAUGGAUACUCGACAUAUGCGAUACACUGUAUGUGUCUGAGCGAAAGCAUUAAGUAUCCCUCCUGGGAAGUACGAUCGCAAGAUUG
rnacentral:rRNA from 1 species